AUUGAACGCUGGCGGCAUGCCUUACACAUGCAAGUCGAACGGUAACAGGUCUUCGGAUGCUGACGAGUGGCGAACGGGUGAGUAAUACAUCGGAACGUGCCCAGACGUGGGGGGUAACGAGGCGAAAGCUUUGCUAAUACCGCAUACGAUCUAAGGAUGAAAGCAGGGGACCGCAAGGCCUUGCGCGUUUGGAGCGGCCGAUGGCAGAUUAGGUAGUUGGUGGGAUAAAAGCUUACCAAGCCGACGAUCUGUAGCUGGUCUGAGAGGACGACCAGCCACACUGGAACUGAGACACGGCCCAGACUCCUACGGGAGGCAGCAGUGGGGAAUUUUGGACAAUGGGCGAAAGCCUGAUCCAGCAAUGCCGCGUGCAGGAUGAAGGCCUUCGGGUUGUAAACUGCUUUUGUACGGAACGAAAAGGCUCUGGCUAAUACCUGGGGCACAUGACGGUACCGUAAGAAUAAGCACCGGCUAACUACGUG
rnacentral:rRNA from 1 species